UACAGAGGGGGCGAGCGUUAUUCGGAAUUAUUGGGCGUAAAGCGCACGUAGGCGGUCCGUUAAGUCGGAUGUGAAAGCCCCCGGCUCAACCGGGGAAGUGCAUCCGAAACUGGCGGGCUAGAGUACGAAAGAGGGUCGCGGAAUUCCCGGUGUAGAGGUGAAAUUCGUAGAUAUCGGGAGGAACACCGGUGGCGAAGGCGGCGACCUGGGUCGAUACUGACGCUGAGGUGCGAAAGCGUGGGGAGCAAACAGG
rnacentral:rRNA from 1 species